CUUACAGUGAAUUCAUCAAAAUUCCAAAUGAGUUAAUUAGUUUUUUUCAAAUUGAUGCGAAUAUUUUCGACAUUCGCUUGAGACAAAAAAUAAAAUUUAAAAAAAUUUUCAUAUCCAACUCUAACACAAAAUUUUUCAAAAAAUGUCAUCAAAAAUAAAUUUAAUUUUCAUUUAUUUAUUAAUAAUGGGAUUAAUUUUCACUUCUGAUUGUUGCGGGUCAUCUUGUCACCGUGAAGGGUACAAAUGUUUAUCCACAAAAAAUUGCUGUCCAUCUUUGAGGUGCUUUGUCAACCACUCAUCCCGGAAUAAUUGGGGAGUAUGUUUACCAAAGUAUACCAGAGUAAGUGAAUUGUUAUAAAAAAAAAUGUUUUUUGUCAACAAUAAAAAACUUUAAAUUCAGUAAUAAA